rnacentral:rRNA from 1 species
AGGAUGAACGCUGGCGGCGUGCCUAAAACAUGCAAGUCAUACGGGCUACCUUCGGGUAGCCAGUGGCAAACGGGUGAGUAACACGUGGGAACGCGCCUUGGGGUGGGGAAUAACGCUGAGAAAUCAGUGCUAAUACCGCAUAUGGUCUAACGACUAAAGCAGCAAUGCGCCCCGAGAGCGGCCCGCGACCGAUUAGCUAGUUGGUGGGGUAAUGGCCUACCAAGGCGGUGAUCGGUAGCUGGUCUGAGAGGAUGGUCAGCCACACUGGGACUGCGAACGGCCCAGACUCCUACGGGAGGCAGCAGUUAGGAAUUUUCGGCAAUGGACGAAAGUCUGACCGAGCGACGCCGCGUGGAGGAUGACGCCUUUCGGGGUGUAAACUCUUUUCUGCGGGAAGAUAAUGACGGUACCGCAGGAAUAAGCACCGGCUAACUACGUCGCCAGCAGCCGAC